rnacentral:rRNA from 1 species
GACGAACGCUGGCGGCGUGCUUAACACAUGCAAGUCGAACGGUAAGGCCCUUCGGGGUACACGAGUGGCGAACGGGCGAGUAACACGGGGGUGAUCUGCCCUGCACUUCGGGAUAGGCCAGGGCAACUGGAUCUAAUACCGGAUAGGACCAAUGCCCGCAUGGGCGGUGGUGGAAAGCUUUGGCGGUGUGGGAUGGGCCCGCGGCCUAUCAGCUUGUUGGUGGGGUGAUGGUCUACCAAGGCGACGACGGGUAGCCGGCCUGAGAGGGUGACCGGCCACACUGGGACUGAGAUACGGCCCAGACUCCUACGGGAGGCAGCAGUGGGGAAUAUUGCACAAUGGGCGCAAGCCUGAUGCAGCGACGCCGCGUGAGGGAUGACGGCCUUCGGGUUGUAAACCUCUUUCAGCACCGACGAAGCGCAAGUGACGGUAGGUGCAGAAGAAGGACCGGCCAACUACGUGCCAGCCGCCGCAGUAACAC